rnacentral:tRNA from 1 species
AGGGACUUAGGAUAGUAAUUAGUCCAAGGGCCUUCAAAGUCCUAAGCGAGGGUGAGAAUCCCCCAGCCCCUGA